rnacentral:tRNA from 1 species
UGAAUGUAGCUCAGUGGUGGGGUGCUCACCUCACAAGUGGGGAGUCGUGGGUUCAAUCCCUAACACCUCAA